UACGUAGGGCGCAAGCGUUAUCCGGAAUCACUGGGCGUAAAGCGCACGUAGGCGGAUUGCUAAGUCAGGGGUGAAAUCCUGGAGCUCAACUCCAGAACUGCCUUUGAUACUGGCGAUCUUGAGUCCGGGAGAGGUGAGUGGAACUGCGAGUGUAGAGGUGAAAUUCGUAGAUAUUCGCAAGAACACCAGUGGCGAAGGCGGCUCACUGGCCCGGUACUGACGCUGAGGUGCGAAAGCGUGGGGAGCAAACAGG
rnacentral:rRNA from 1 species